rnacentral:misc_RNA from 1 species
AGAUGAAGAACGUAGCGAAAUGCGAUAAAUAAUGUGAAUUGCAGAAUUCCGUGAAUCAUCGAGUCUUUGAACGCACAUUGCGCCCUCUGGUAUUCCGGAGGGCAUGCCUGUCCGAGCGUCAUUGCUGCCCUCAAGCACGGCUUGUGUGUUGGGCCCCGCCCCCCGAUCCCGGGGGGCGGGCCCGAAAGGCAGCGGCGGCACCGCGUCCGGUCCUCGAGCGUAUGGGGCUUUGUCACCCGCUCUGUAGGCCCGGCCGGCGCUUGCCGAUCAACCAAACUUUUUUCCAGGUUGACCUCGGAUCAGGUAGGGAUACCCGCUGAACUUAAGCAUAUCAAUAAGCGGAGGA